UUUCCUCCCAUAAGCGGAGAAACUGGCUUUGUAUCGUCCGGGGCUUCGUGGGAGCUUUCGGCCGGGGAACGGAAAGGAAAGGUCGCUGCCGAACUUGACGGAUACGUCGAUGGCCACACAUGCACCCAUGGGGACUCCAUGCAUGCACGCGUCGGCGCAAGUGCAAGGAGGAUGGAUGUACCCGUGGGCAAUCGCGAUCCGGUCGUCCUAUCGCGAUGAUGGACCGGCCGCUGGAUGCGCCUGUCCAUGCUCCCAUGAGAAUCAGAUGGGUGUAAACAUGGCGCCGUUUCUUGUGGGAUACAGUGGUGCACAGUUAUCAUUGUCCCUUUGUUUUUCUCAAUCAUUGCCAUUGUUUAAUGGUCCGACUGUCGAAAUUUAAGGUAAGGUAGAGUGGAGU
rnacentral:lncRNA from 1 species